AAAAUCGACCGCGCGCCGCUGCUAACAAAGCCGACCUAGUAGCAUCACCUCGGGAUUCGUUCGUUAGUUCCAACAUUUCCCGGUAGAGGCGUCGUAAUAAGCGCAAUUUUAUCUUACAAACUUUCUCUUACAAUUACCGAAGCAUUUUCUUUUACAUAAAAACAGGGCAAAAUUAUCAUUGCUAAUUAGAUAUUGUACUCUUUGUUAGUAAGUUUAUUGUUUCUUCGCCAUUAUGAACGCAAAUAGCGUUCAGCAUCAUCGAUCUUUCACGUGACCUCUGGCCUGGAUUUAAAAUUUUUACCGGUAUUUCCGAGUGCACGGCGGCACGGAUUCAUUCGUUCGUACACUCAAGACUGGUUGCUUCUUUGUUUCUAAAACUAGUUUCUUGCGCUUCUAUGUAACUUGGGGUGAAGUUACGUGUUUGCAAGCGGACAUGUAAGCCCGGCAGUUGGGUUUCGGUCGUGAGCCAUUCGGAACAGGUCUGCAUCGAAACGGGAGCUGGAUUUUGCUGCGGCUGACAACGGCAAUAACGACAUGCAGUAAUGAGGACGGCACCAGUAUAAAGCAACACACUCCACGCACUAAACAGAAGCUGCUGCCUGCUACGACAAGGUCAUUGUGUGGACAUUGGCUACUACUACAAGAGUCUAUGCCAAGCACAUCUUGGUCAUCACAGGAGCUCCUAUCUGCACCAACAGGAAGGGGCUGGAGCCGAAUUUGCAAGGCUUUUACACCAAGAACAAAGAAGCACAUGCACAAGAAUAUGGAUGAGAUAUCAAGUCUGCAAAGGACUGUGUUAAGACUGCAAAGAGCUUCAGCCACCAUUCCACCAGCACGGACAUUUGGCUGAGUCAUCCAAGUAACUCAAAAAGGACUUUCUAGAAAUUCUUCGUCUUCAGAUGCACCUGCAACAUCUGACCAAGCACGGACGACGCUGGCCAAAAGAUUGAGUUUCAUCAGUUCGUCCUUAAUCAGCUUCCAAGCCAUGUUAAUUCCGUUUGUGCGAAG